UACGUAGGGUGCAAGCGUUAUCCGGGAUUAUUGGGCGUAAAGAGCUCGUAGGCGGUUUGUCGCGUCAGCUGUGAAAACCCGAGGCUCAACCUCGGGCCUGCAGUGGGUACGGGCAGACUAGAGUGCGGUAGGGGAGAUUGGAAUUCCUGGUGUAGCGGUGGAAUGCGCAGAUAUCAGGAGGAACACCGAUGGCGAAGGCAGAUCUCUGGGCCGUAACUGACGCUGAGGAGCGAAAGCGUGGGGAGCGAACAGG
rnacentral:rRNA from 1 species